AGUUCUGAAUGUGAAAAGCCCUUCCGUCUUAACCCGAAGGAAGCGCAUUCGGAAACUGGGAAACUUUGAGUGCAGGAAGAGGACAGUGGAACUUCCAUGUGUAGCGGUGAAAAUGCGUAGAUUAUAUGGAAAGAACACCCAGUGGCGAAGGCGGCUGUUCUGGUCUGUAAACUGACGCUGAGGCUCGAAAGCAUGGGUAGCGAACAGGAUUAGAUACCCCUGGUAGUCCCAUGCCGUAAACGAUGAAUGCUAGGUGUUGGGAGGGUUUCCGCCCUUCAGUGCACAAAAGAAAAACGCAUUAAGCAUUCCGCCUGGGGAGUACGACCGCAAGGUUGAAACUCAAAGGAAUUGACGGGGGCCCGCACAAGCGGUGGAGCAUGUGGUUUAAUUCGAAGCAACGCGAAGAACCUUACCAGGUCUUGACAUCUUUUGAUCACAUGAGAGAUCAGGUUUCCCCUUCGGGGGCAAAAUGACAGGUGGUGCAUGGUUGUCGUCAGCUCGUGUCGUGAGAUGUUGGGUUAAGUCCCGCAACGAGCGCAACCCUUAUGACUAGUUGCCAGCAUUUAGUUGGGCACUCUAGUAAGACUGCCGGUGACAAACCGGAGGAAGGUGGGGAUGACGUCAAAUCAUCAUGCCCCUUAUGACCUGGGCUACACACGUGCUACAAUGGAUGGUACAACGAGUUGCGAGACCGCGAGGUCAAGCUAAUCUCUUAAAGCCAUUCUCAGUUCGGACUGUAGGCUGCAACUCGCCUACACGAAGUCGAAUCGCUAGAUACCCUAUC
rnacentral:rRNA from 2 species